GGCUUAUGCAACUAAAUGCACAACCAAAUUUGUAAAUUGUGUACUUUACUAUUAUAACACAAAAGUAAUUUGAGGGUGACGGUGGUGUGAGGGGCGAUAAAGCCUGCAGACCGCCAGUUGUCCAACCCUGGUUGUCAUAAACAUCCACUGAUGCUUCCUUCCCUGUUCUGCCUCGCCUCAGGUCCCUGUCCAGCUCCAUUGACCCUGGUAUCACCCUCAGCCCAUACAUAGCACUGAACACAGAGGAGAGACGCAGGAGGUUCAGAUGGAUGUGUAAUACAGAUGCUGGGAAGCUGCCAAUGAACACCAGGACGGAGAAAACUGUUAAGAGAAAGCUUAAAUUUCUACCGUUUUCCAGCAGGAUAAAUGAAUCUACUGAAAGCAAAGCACAGC
ensembl:lncRNA